rnacentral:rRNA from 1 species
AUGAACGCUGGCGGCGUGCUUAACACAUGCAAGUCGAACGAUGAAGCCCAGCUUGCUGGGUGGAUUAGUGGCGAACGGGUGAGUAACACGUGAGUAACCUGCCCUUAACUCUGGGAUAAGCCUGGGAAACUGGGUCUAAUACCGGAUAGGAGCGCCUACCGCAUGGUGGGUGUUGGAAAGAUUUAUCGGUUUUGGAUGGACUCGCGGCCUAUCAGCUUGUUGGUGAGGUAAUGGCUCACCAAGGCGACGACGGGUAGCCGGCCUGAGAGGGUGACCGGCCACACUGGGACUGAGACACGGCCCAGACUCCUACGGGAGGCAGCAGUGGGGAAUAUUGCACAAUGGGCGCAAGCCUGAUGCAGCGACGCCGCGUGAGGGAUGACGGCCUUCGGGUUGUAAACCUCUUUCAGUAGGGAAGAAGCGAAAGUGACGGUACCUGCAGAAGAAGCACCGGCUAACUACG